GGUGUGGUAGCUCAGUGGCAGAGCAACCACUUGCAGCUUGUGAGUUGAAGGUUCAAUUCCUUCCCACACUU